UACGGAGGGUGCGAGCGUUGUCCGGAAUCACUGGGCGUAAAGGGCGCGUAGGCGGCCUGAUAAGUAGGGGGUGAAGUCCUGCGGCUUAACCGCAGGGCUGCCUUCUAAACUGUCAGGCUUGAGCACAGUAGAGGCAGGUGGAAUUCCCGGUGUAGCGGUGAAAUGCGUAGAGAUGGGGGAGAACACUCGUGGCGAAGGCGGCCAGCUAGACCAGUUCUGACACUGAGGCGCGACAGCGUGGGGAGCAAACAGG
rnacentral:rRNA from 1 species